rnacentral:tRNA from 1 species
GCCCUCGUGGGGUAGCUUGGAUAUCCUAGAAGGUUGCGGACCUUCGGACUCGUGUUCGAAUCGCGACGGGGGCA